GGCUCGGUAGCGCGCGGUGCGCACCUGUUUAAAUUUCUAAUUACAUUUGAUGUUGGCUCCAGCAGGCCCCGCCCGUUCAACUCGGGCCCGAGCCA